AAUGGUGAUGACCAGCAUAUAGUAUGUGAUGUGUUUUUGCGAUCUUACCCCGAUGUGACACAGCCAACUUUGUUGUUGUCCUCAGGGGGAGGUGGGGCCUCCUGGUCUGUCUGGACAUGAAGGCUCCUGGGGAGCCCUUGGAGACAAUGGAGAGAGGGGUCCAAAAGGAGAGAAAGGCCACAUUGGGCUCAUGGGUGAGCCAGGGCUGAUGGGUAAAUUAGGUCCUGCCGGUCUGGCUGGUUUACAGGGAAGCACCGGCCCACCUGGACCUGUUGGACCGGAUGGUCCUCAGGGUCAGAAGG